UGUCUGGUUUAUUGCUAACUCCUCCAAGUGACUGAUUAUUGCCAACGUCGAAUUAAUAAGUCUCCUCUGAUGUUAAUGAUUGUGAGUGUUCCCAGGAAAGGACUAAAAGAUGACUUUCCAAACAAUAUGUCGCUUGGAAAUACCCAAAACAAACUCAAUGUCCAUUCCUGGCGUGUUAAUUGAACCGAACUGACUCAAUGCCUCGUGUUAAAAGUCCUUUACUCCGCUUCUCUGGCCCACAGUUUAUUUUCAACUACUUUUAUUUCGGACCCGAUCUUAAAGCAAAUCAAGAAGGGAAAGUUUGUCAAAUCACUUCCACAAGACAAAGUCGGCUUCCGAGGCAGCCGGGCCGCACAAAGCAGGGACGCACCCGCUGACCCUCUCGGGGAGCGACCUGGGGCGUCGGGUUUCGGUCAGACCGCAGCAGGAAGUUUUCCCUUCCUUUGCGGCAGGCAGCGGAGCCAAAGGGAAACCUGAACUCCCCCUCCACGGGGCACCCAGAGAAACACCCAAAAUGUUUGACCAAAUAUCUGGGCACCCCGUGGCCCAGUCAAGUUGACACAUAAUUUUAACCAUCAAUGAGAGGAAGACGGAGAGUGCUACUGACCUAGCUUGAGUCAUGUGCCCAGCCCUUUGAUUAGCACCUAAUCCUGGCCUGCCUUCUUAGAAAGCUACACCAUCGGCCGCAAGGACACUGAGAAGUGAGUGUGGAUGAAAAUGGUCACCAGAGUCCAUGUCCUAUACUGUGUGGGACAGCUGUGUCCUCUCCCACACCUGGCCCUCUGUCAUCUGCCCCAGGUGGAUGUACGAGCUCCUCAGUGCAGGUAACAGGAGCCGCUGGGAGGCCCGGGCCGCAGGAGGGCUGCACACCCCAAGGGGCUGCGGGAACAGGCGCUGAAAUGUCAGGAUUUCUCAAGAGGAGUUCCUUUUCUCCCCCCAAUUCAAGAUCUGAGGUGGCUGUGGGAAAAAGAACUAGAAUGGUUUGUCUCCCCCUGUCCUGCCAAGCCCCACCUCUGACAAGGCUCCCUUAUCCCUUCCUCUUUUACUUCGGCUGCUGGAAAUAAGAAAAAAGGAAAGGAAUAAGACUGAAAAAGGAGGUAAAAAGAAAAGGAAGGCAGAGUAAGAGGGGAAAUUAUGUUCUGAAAGUAUUAAAAGUAUUUCUAUAUAAUGAGAUGUUGAAUUUGUACCUACAUGAGGUCUGCGCCUGCCUGGUUUGGGCAAUUCUCACAGUAUCUUGUUAGGUACUAGCCUGAGUCCUUAUGCAGGAGCUGAGGUAUCUCCUGGGAGAGAAACUUCCUCAGGGAAGAGUCCAACGAAGGCGCUUGUCCUGGUAAAAACAUCCCAUAGUCACUGCCGUGGAUACGCCCUGUUAUGUCUGCGUGUGUGUGCGCCCUCGAGAUGGAUACGUAGAUGUGUAUGUACUGUGCACACAUGUAUACGUGUAUAUAUUAGGGGGUGAUUUGGAAUCAUGAGAGCAGAGGAGACACUAUGGGAUUAAUGUGCAUAAAAAAGAGACCCCAGAGCUGCCUUGUCUCUUUCACCAAGCGAGGACAUGGUGAGAAGUUGCCAUGUGUGAACUAGAUUUGAUCUUGGACUUCCCACCCUCUAGAACUGGCAGAAAUAAGUCUUUGUUGUUUAUAAGCCACUCAGUUUAUGGUAUUUUGUGUACCUUGCAGUAGAAUUGCUGGGUCAUGGGGUACAUUCUGUCAGCUUUGCUAGAUGAUGCCAAGGUCAUUCCAUCAGUUUACACACCCACCAGCUGUACACGAGAGGUCUUAAUGCUCCACAUCCUCGCCAACACUUGGUCAUGCUCGUCUUGGUAAGUUUAGCUCCUUUGGUCAGCAUGAUUCUCCUAAGAAGAGGGAUAUUCUACUGUUUAAUCACAAUACUCAAGAAAAUUAACAAUAAGUCCAUAGUGUCAUACAAUAUUUUGUCCAUCUUUAACCUUCCCCAAUUGACCUGAAAAUGUCUUUUAUAGCUGGUUUUGGGAAAUCAA